UACGAAGGGGGCUAGCGUUGCUCGGAAUCACUGGGCGUAAAGGGUGCGUAGGCGGUUCUUUAAGUCAGGGGUGAAAUCCUGGAGCUCAACUCCAGAACUGCCUUUGAUACUGGGGAUCUUGAGUUCGGGAGAGGUGAGUGGAACUGCGAGUGUAGAGGUGAAAUUCGUAGAUAUUCGCAAGAACACCAGUGGCGAAGGCGGCUCACUGGCCCGAUACUGACGCUGAGGCACGAAAGCGUGGGGAGCAAACAGG
rnacentral:rRNA from 1 species